rnacentral:rRNA from 1 species
CUUAGUGGCGAACGGGUGAGUAACGCGUGAGUAACCUGCCCUGGAGUGGGGGACAACAGUUGGAAACGACUGCUAAUACCGCAUAAGCCCACGGAUCCGCAUGGAUCUGCGGGAAAAGGAUUUAUUCGCUUCAGGAUGGACUCGCGUCCAAUUAGCUAGUUGGUGAGGUAACGGCCCACCAAGGCGACGAUUGGUAGCCGGCCUGAGAGGGUGAACGGCCACAUUGGGACUGAGACACGGCCCAAACUCCUACGGGAGGCAGCAUG